ACAGCAAAACAAAGAGGCACAUUGUCUCCUUGUCAAGCUGGGGCAACAGACGUAGCAUUGCAGUCUGGAUGAAAGAGGGGGCCGCAGGCAGAAGACUUUCUCACAAGGAAAAUCAAGAAAAAGUGCCCCCCUUUGCGUUUCUCUAUCCACUCCCCUCGUUCUCCAACUGCGCAGCCCUAGCGCCUGCCUUUGUCCCCAUCACAACAAUCAUCGAACAGAUGGUGCUAUGCUUGGGUGAGAAUGACAGGCACCAGCCAGCAGCCAAUCGCGUAGUCAGGAAUCAGCUGACUCGUCUGGACAGCGCCAGGUGCUGUUUUCAUAUUUUCCUUGAAGGAGCAGUGGGCUACGGGCGAAGAGUAGAAUAUCGGCAGGCAACUAGUCAAUGUGGCUUCAGUUGGCGUUUGGAUGUCUCUACAAUCUGCACUAUGCUCUGCUCUAAGGCUAUUGACGCAUAGAGGUGAAGGCUAUUUGCAUAAACCUUACUGAUGUCCAAAGAAACUGGAUGCAACUGAGAAGAGAGGGGAUUGCAUAUCCACGAGGUGAGGCCAAUACUUACAAUUAUUGCUUUAAUUAGGCUAAUGUUUGAACAAAGUCAGAAUAUAUUAAACGGAGGCUGUUUAUUUUGUAGCCUGGCAUGCUCUUUCGAGGUAUUUUGCAGUAGUAGAACAGGUGGACGUGGAUGUUAUGAAAACUGGAACUCCGUGGCUGUACACCGAUUGUCUGACACUUACCUUCACAAUAAGGUUAAACGUGGCCAGAAAAAACAGCGGUCAUAGUAUCAAUUUUUCUGUGAAGGUGACAUUUCCCUAACAAAAUUGUAUUUGUUUGCCAACAACCUACCGUUACUGCAUCACUGCCAGGGCAUGACUUGCUGUGCAUGGGGUGGAGGGACCCAAGGCAAUAGCCUUUUAUGCGAAAUAAUAACUAAUAGCCAACCGAUUUUUAUAAUAAUGUAAUAUCCGGCUAUCUAGAUAAUUGAUCAGGAUUAAGACUACUCUGCCUGUUGUUUUAUAUCUGCAUCUAUUAUUCUUGUAAUUAUAUUCCGGCCAUUCACAAUCAGAAUUAUACAAAUUUCAACAUCUCAAUGCGUCAGAUAACGUGCUCGGGAAACAAACUUUGAUCCUCGUGUGGCUCACCGCUGCGCAUAAAUGUAGGCAGGCACGCGUGGUGCACGCAACGUUGGGAAUAUGUGAUUUGCAUAUAGAUGCGAAAGCAUGUGGGCAGAUGUCUCGAUUAUUUCAUUAGUCUAUUUCGGCAGAAUUCGAACCGGGCAACCGGUCUGUAAGAAAAAAAAGUCCAAUGUUUCAAGAAUAUCUAAGAGAGAACAGGUUGUAAAAGGGGGGCAGGGAGUGGGGUAGCCUAUUGUCAUUGUAUAUACGCGUCUGCUGUUUUGCAGCUGUUGCUCCUAUGUAAUAGCUGAGGUUAUUAACUUAGACUAUUGUCUCACAAGCUUCUUAUUCCCCCUUUGUAUGACCAACAGUUUUUGUCAACACUAGGGCUAGGCUAUGGUAGUGGAGCAGUAUCUCUGGCACUGUUUUAAAGCAGUAAUCAACAGUAGAAACAAUAACAAAGAUGAUCCCCCCCCCCCCCCAUUUCGGUAAAAAGCUGAGGGAUGGGGUUGGAGAAAUGUUACCACUCUCAAAUUCAUAGACAGAGCUAUGGGUGCAAGGACUUAUAGUUAUCGGUCAGUCUGUUAAAGUUGUCAUUUCUCAUCACUUAGAUACAGACAUUCAUUGUUUUAUAGGAUGUCACUCAUUGCUGUGGUUUCAAGUUGCCUAUGCUAGAAUUGUCACGUCACCACUUUGCCUGCUGAGCCUCAGUCAGUGUUGGCAGUGUGACAUAGGCUGUCAGUGUCUAGACUGAAAAAAAAAUAAAGUGUUGAGGAUGACCUUUUUCUUACAGCAGUUCAAAUAAAGAAAUGAGUAAUGCUAAAGACACAACACUUGACCUUGUUGUGAGCCCUAUGUGAUAUGUCAGGUUACACUCCAAGACCAGAUUGGCAGUGACCAAACUGACAGUGAACAGCGGGCAAAUCCAUUUCUCAAAACUCAAAGAACAAAGUAUUAGAGGAGGGGCAGAAGAGUGGCAAGGUGCCUGAUGAGGAGUCUGGCCAUUUCUUCUGUCUACCCUGGGGGUAUAACCCUUCCCCCUCCCCCUCCCCCUCCACACACACACACACACACACACACACACACACACACACACACACACACACACACACACACACACACACACACACUUUACUGUGAGAACACUCUGUGACAAAGGCCUGCUAAUAGGCCUGUGUCUGUCCACCAGGCAGGGUUGUUAGGAGUCAGUGAGAAAGCCACAAUACCCUCCACCAUGGAGAAGUGAGUUCCCUUGGG
rnacentral:lncRNA from 8 species